rnacentral:rRNA from 1 species
GAUGAACGCUGGCGGCGUGCCUAAUACAUGCAAGUCGAGCGAACAGACGAGGAGCUUGCUCCUCUGACGUUAGCGGCGGACGGGUGAGUAACACGUGGAUAACCUACCUAUAAGACUGGGAUAACUUCGGGAAACCGGAGCUAAUACCGGAUAAUAUAUUGAACCGCAUGGUUCAAUAGUGAAAGACGGUUUUGCUGUCACUUAUAGAUGGAUCCGCGCCGCAUUAGCUAGUUGGUAAGGUAACGGCUUACCAAGGCAACGAUGCGUAGCCGACCUGAGUGGGUGAUCGGCCACACUGGAACUGAGACACGGUCCAGACUCCUACGGGAGGCAGCAGUAGGGAAUCUUCCGCAAUGGGCGAAAGCCUGACGGAGCAACGCCGCGUGAGUGAUGAAGGUCUUCGGAUCGUAAAACUCUGUUAUUAGGGAAGAACAAAUGUGUAAGUAACUAUGCACGUCUUGACGGUACCUAAUCAGAAAGCCACGGCUAACUAUGUG